rnacentral:rRNA from 1 species
GUCUUUAAGAAUUUAAUUUAAAGUCUAAUCUGCCCAAUGAUUUUUUAAAUGGCUGCAGAAUUUUAACUGUACAAAGGUAGCAUAAUAAUUUGUUUUUUAAUUAAAAACUAGAAUGAAAGAUUUAAUGAAAUAUAAACUGUUUCAAUUAAUUUAUUAUUAAAUUUUUUAUUUAAGUAAAAAAACUUAAAUAAAUUUUUAAGACGACAAGACCCUAUAGAAUUUUAUUUAUUGAAUUAAUUUUUUUUAUUCAAUAAAUUUUAUUGGGGUAAUAAAAAAAUUUAAAAAAUUUUUUUUUAAAAUUACAUUUUUAAUGAAUUUUUUAUCUUAAUAUUUAAAUUAAAAAAAUUAAUUACCUUAGGGAUAACAGCAUAAUUUUUUUUAAAAGAUCUUAUUAAUAAAAAAGAUUAU